CGAACGGUUUCCAAGAACAGGUGUGGACGAGCACACACUAAACAACUUUCUUGGAAGACUAGCACGUAGGCUUAGGCGUGCUGCAGCUCGGUGCGGUUGCGGUACUAGUGCUGCGAUGAAUGUGCAUGUGCCACAGGAACGACAAUGCAACACACCUGUUGUGCAUGGUACAUCUUCUUUGGGAGGAUCUGGAGGACAGAGCUCGUCUCGACUAACUAUGGACACUUUUCAAAGCGAUGAUGAUGAGGACGAAGAGGGGGUGGCCGAGGAGCGUGACUAUGACGAGCUUGGGUUAUCUCAGCUUCCUGAUGCUCCUUCUACUCAGCCUACGCAGGUUGCAAGAAGGCGACGUCGUUCGCCUUGUAGGUACACUCCAGGCACCGAUG